rnacentral:rRNA from 1 species
GGGUCAUUAGGUUGGUCGUGCCACCGGUACGUACUGGUCUCACUGAUUCCUCCUUCCUGAAGAACCGUAAUGCCAUUAAUUUGGUGUUGCGGGGAAACAGGACUGUUACUUUGAAAAAAUUAGAGUGUUUAAAGCAAGCUAACGCUUGAAUACAUUAGCAUGGAUUAAUGAAAUAGGACGAUCGAUCCUAUUUUGUUGGUUUCUAGGAUUGACGUA